rnacentral:sRNA from 1 species
UCAAUGAGUGCCCCUCCGUGCCUGUUAACUUGCAGCCAUCCCCAACAGGAUCAGUGCAGGAGGCAAGCAUGUUUUUCGAUGUCGUAGUUUUAGCCGGUAUCGGCACCGUGGGCUUGAUGGUCGCCUUCUUCGCUGGCGUUGGUUAUUUCAUCUGGAAGGACUCGCACAAGCGCAAGGCGCCGUAAGUUCUCCAGAUUCACGGGCACGCAAGGCAAUUUGGGCGACUUCGGUCGCCCUUU